rnacentral:rRNA from 1 species
GGCAUCCUACGGGGCGCAGCAGUGAGGAAUAUUGGUCAAUGGGCGGGAGCCUGAACCAGCCAAGUCGCGUGAGGGAAGACGGUCCUAUGGAUUGUAAACCUCUUUAGGCGGGGAGCAAUGCCGGGCACGUGUGCCCGGAGGGAGAGUACCCGCAGAAUAAGCAUCGGCUAACUCCGUGCCAGCAGCCGCGGUAAUACGGAGGAUGCGAGCGUUAUCCGGAUUUAUUGGGUUUAAAGGGUGCGUAGGCGGAUUUUUAAGUCAGCGGUAAAAUGUCCGGGCUAAACCCGGGCCUG